rnacentral:rRNA from 1 species
GUGCACCAGUCGCGAAAACUUUACAAUGUGCGAAAGCACGAUAAGGGAACUCUGAGUGCCUCCUAAGGAGGCUGUUCUGAUGUCUAAAAGCAACAGAAGUAAGGGCUGGGUAAGACCGGUGCCAGCCGCCGCGGUAACACCGGCAGCCCAAGUGGUAGCCACGUUUAUUGGGUCUAAAGCGUUCGUAGCCGGCCAGGUAAGUUCCUUGGUAAAUUUAGCCGCUUAACGGUUAAGCUUUCAGGGAAUACUGCUUGGCUUGGGACUGGGAGAGGUCAGAGGUACUCCGGGGGUAGGGGUGAAAUCUAUUAAUCCCUGGGGACCACCGGUAGCGAAGGCGUCUGACCAGACCAGGUCCGACGGUGAGGGACGAAGGCUAGGGGCGCGAACCGGAUUAGAUACCCCUGUAGU